rnacentral:rRNA from 1 species
UUGAAGAGUUUGAUCAUGGCUCAGAUUGAACGCUGGCGGCAGGCCUAACACAUGCAAGUCGAGCGGUAGCACAGAGAGCUUGCUCUCGGGUGACGAGCGGCGGACGGGUGAGUAAUGUCUGGGAAACUGCCUGAUGGAGGGGGGAUAACUACUGGAAACGGUAGCUAAUACCGCAUAACGUCGCAAGACCAAAGUGGGGGACCUUCGGGCCUCAUGCCAUCAGAUGUGCCCAGAUGGGAUUAGCUAGUAGGUGGGGUAACGGCUCACCUAGGCGACGAUCCCUAGCUGGUCUGAGAGGAUGACCAGCCACACUGGAACUGAGACACGGUCCAGACUCCUACGGGAGGCAGCAGUGGGGAAUAUUGCACAAUGGGCGCAAGCCUGAUGCAGCCAUGCCGCGUGUGUGAAGAAGGCCUUCGGGUUGUAAAGCACUUUCAGCGGGGAGGAAGGCGUUAAGGUUAAUAACCUUGGCGAUUGACGUUACCCGCAGAAGAAGCACCGGCUAACUCCGUGCCAGCAGCCGCGGUAAUACGGAGGGUGCAAGCGUUAAUCGGAAUUACUGGGCGUAAAGCGCACGCAGGCGGUCUGUCAAGUCGGAUGUGAAAUCCCCGGGCUCAACCUGGGAACUGCAUUCGAAACUGGCAGGCUAGAGUCUUGUAGAGGGGGGUAGAAUUCCAGGUGUAGCGGUGAAAUGCGUAGAGAUCUGGAGGAAUACCGGUGGCGAAGGCGGCCCCCUGGACAAAGACUGACGCUCAGGUGCGAAAGCGUGGGGAGCAAACAGGAUUAGAUACCCUGGUAGUCCACGCCGUAAACGAUGUCGAUUUGGAGGUUGUGCCCUUGAGGCGUGGCUUCCGGAGCUAACGCGUUAAAUCGACCGCCUGGGGAGUACGGCCGCAAGGUUAAAACUCAAAUGAAUUGACGGGGGCCCGCACAAGCGGUGGAGCAUGUGGUUUAAUUCGAUGCAACGCGAAGAACCUUACCUUGGUCUUGACAUCCACAGAACUUUCCAGAGAUGGAUUGGUGCCUUCGGGAACUGUGAGACAGGUGCUGCAUGGCUGUCGUCAGCUCGUGUUGUGAAAUGUUGGGUUAAGUCCCGCAACGAGCGCAACCCUUAUCCUUUGUUGCCAGCGGUUCGGCCGGGAACUCAAAGGAGACUGCCAGUGAUAAACUGGAGGAAGGUGGGGAUGACGUCAAGUCAUCAUGGCCCUUACGACCGGGCUACACGUGCUACAAUGGCAUAUACAAAGAGAAGCGACCUCGCGAGAGCAAGCGGACCUCAUAAAGUAUGUCGUAGUCCGGAUUGGAGUCUGCAACUCGACUCCAUGAAGUCGGAAUCGCUAGUAAUCGUAGAUCAGAAUGCUACGGUGAAUACGUUCCCGGGCCUUGUACACACCGCCCGUCACACCAUGGGAGUGGGUUGCAAAAGAAGUAGGUAGCUUAACCUUCGGGAGGGCGCUUACCACUUUGUGAUUCAUGACUGGGGUGAAGUCGUAACAAGGUAACCGUAGGGGAACCUGCGGUUGGAUCACCUCCUU